GGCGGCGUGCCUAAUACAUGCAAGUCGAACGAACUCUGGUAUUGAUUGGUGCUUGCAUCAUGAUUUACAUUUGAGUGAGUGGCGAACUGGUGAGUAACACGUGGGAAACCUGCCCAGAAGCGGGGGAUAACACCUGGAAACAGAUGCUAAUACCGCAUAACAACUUGGACCGCAUGGUCCGAGCUUGAAAGAUGGCUUCGGCUAUCACUUUUGGAUGGUCCCGCGGCGUAUUAGCUAGAUGGUGGGGUAACGGCUCACCAUGGCAAUGAUACGUAGCCGACCUGAGAGGGUAAUCGGCCACAUUGGGACUGAGACACGGCCCAAACUCCUACGGGAGGCAGCAGUAGGGAAUCUUCCACAAUGGACGAAAGUCUGAUGGAGCAACGCCGCGUGAGUGAAGAAGGGUUUCGGCUCGUAAAACUCUGUUGUUAAAGAAGAACAUAUCUGAGAGUAACUGUUCAGGUAUUGACGGUAUUUAACCAGAAAGCCACGGCUAACUACGUGCCAGCAGCCGCGGUAAUACGUAGGUGGCAAGCGUUGUCCGGAUUUAUUGGGCGUAAAGCGAGCGCAGGCGGUUUUUUAAGUCUGAUGUGAAAGCCUUCGGCUCAACCGAAGAAGUGCAUCGGAAACUGGGAAACUUGAGUGCAGAAGAGGACAGUGGAACUCCAUGUGUAGCGGUGAAAUGCGUAGAUAUAUGGAAGAACACCAGUGGCGAAGGCGGCUGUCUGGUCUGUAACUGACGCUGAGGCUCGAAAGUAUGGGUAGCAAACAGGAUUAGAUACCCUGGUAGUCCAUACCGUAAACGAUGAAUGCUAAGUGUUGGAGGGUUUCCGCCCUUCAGUGCUGCAGCUAACGCAUUAAGCAUUCCGCCUGGGGAGUACGGCCGCAAGGCUGAAACUCAAAGGAAUUGACGGGGGCCCGCACAAGCGGUGGAGCAUGUGGUUUAAUUCGAAGCUACGCGAAGAACCUUACCAGGUCUUGACAUACUAUGCAAAUCUAAGAGAUUAGACGUUCCCUUCGGGGACAUGGAUACAGGUGGUGCAUGGUUGUCGUCAGCUCGUGUCGUGAGAUGUUGGGUUAAGUCCCGCAACGAGCGCAACCCUUAUUAUCAGUUGCCAGCAUUAAGUUGGGCACUCUGGUGAGACUGCCGGUGACAAACCGGAGGAAGGUGGGGGAUGACGUCAAAUCAUCAUGCCCCUUAUGACCUGGGCUACACACGUGCUACAAUGGAUGGUACAACGAGUUGCGAACUCGCGAGAGUAAGCUAAUCUCUUAAAGCCAUUCUCAGUUCGGAUUGUAGGCUGCAACUCGCCUACAUGAAGUCGGAAUCGCUAGUAAUCGCGGAUCAGCAUGCCGCGGUGAAUACGUUCCCGGGCCUUGUACACACCGCCCGUCACACCAUGAAAAGUUUGUAACACCCAAAGUCGGUGGGGGUAACCUUUUUAGGAACCAGCCGCCUAAGGUGGGACAG
rnacentral:rRNA from 2 species